rnacentral:lncRNA from 1 species
AUAAUCAAAACAGGCUUCUUCUUCUUUUUUUUUUUAAAACCUAAAGCUUUGUGGUUUAUGCUUAGUAACAAAAAAAAGUCAAGUAUCAGUGGUCUCUAUAACUAACAGUGAGCAAGAUUGGAUUUUGAAAAAUCUUGUACCAAUUUGCUUUUGUGCUAUUUUAUAUUCAAUUGACGAAAGAAUUAAUGCUGUAACUGUUACCCUUGCGUCUAUGACUACAUUAAUAAUGCCCCCAAAUUAAAGCGCACAUAAAUUAAAUAGUAUACUCUAGCAAAUUAAAUUAAGUCAUAUUGUAAGGUACCGAGAAUUAAAUAUUCUAUUAGCAAAAUCAAAACGUAAAAUCUAUCCAAACUAAGCCCACCGGUUUGUCCAUGAAAAUUAAUUAUUUCUUCAUUAUUAUCCAAUUAAUAUCUUCACUUGAUCACAUGGUUUAUGAUUACUUCAUAGUUAUCCAACAUCUUCAUACACUUUUUUAUGACUAACCUAUUGGUCUAUCCAAAUUAAUAGUAGUCACUUAAUUUGUUGUGGUCCAAUAUCAUCACUUGAUAAGAUUAAAGCAUGUAUACCCACAGCCCCCUAUAUGCCUUUUAUAUAUCAUGACUUUGUCCAGCAAGAGAGAAAGAGAGCAAGGGUACGACUCUUUUCCAGCUUUUACAAAUCUACUGUAGAAUAACAUGAUUUAGGUAAAAAUAAUUUAAAAAAUAUCAAAUAUUAAAAUUAACUUUUAAAAUUUUAAAAUUAUUUUCUGCCAUCUCAAAAACAGUGUCAAAUGAAAUCCUUUAGCCAAUUAAAAGAAAAAAUAGUGAAAAGUAGUGGGAAUUUUAUUAACCGCACAAAUCGUAAGUCAAAAAAUAUGAACAAAAUAAUUUGUUCUUAGGAACUCUAAUAAAUUGGAGGCAUGUGCUGCCCGAAACCAAAUGAUGCAUCAAGAUUUGUUCUUUCAAAAACAAAAUUAAUUUGUUAAUAGAUAGUUGCGUGUUUUACUUUCAAAAAAGGCUAAAAUAAUUUCAGGCUUGGAUGCAUCUAACGGCUGAAAUCAUAAUAUCAAGAUUUAUUCUUAAGUCUUUUUUUGAUAUCAAGAUUUUUGAUUCAACCACACAAUUAAGUUAAAGUUUCGUAUGCAGACUAUUAGGGAUUCAUCCAGUAUGCAACAAACAGAUGAAAUAAUAUUUUGAAAAGAAAAUUAAUUUGUCUGGUAAUUAAUUAUUGCCGGCAAACUUUAUCUCAAAUCGCAUACUUCUUUUCAAAUAUUAUCUACUUUUCUAGACUCUACGAUUACUGUCUACAUUUUUCAAUGAAUUAUUGCUCGGUAACUAGUUUUUUUACAAUCAUUUAUUUAGCGGACCAGACCGUGUUUCGCACUAAUUGCAAUCAUUUAACUAUAUAUGGCCGUUAAUCGUACCCAGCCAUUGCGCGAAAAAACAUCAGCCGUUGAUCGUUUAUCUGUACCAUUUUAUAAUAUUUAUAAUAUUUUCCUUAUAAAUCAUGAUCUUCCCUAAAGUUAUGGAUUCUUCCAUAUAGAGAUGAUUGUGAUUUAUUUGUCAAUUUAAAAGUUCCAACAGUAUCUCAAUGUUGUGCAUUUUCAGCUAAUUAGUCAAGGUAAUCUAGUGCAUCUUUAGGAUUUUUAUCCCUAAAUUUACUAUUACACAUCAUUUCAACAACCUAUCUACUUUAGGGUGCCAAGCUCUCGUAGAAAUAAGUGACCAAUCACCAAGUUUUAAAACCAUGGUGUGGACAUAUGUCAAGCAAUUCUUUAAACUCAUCCCAACAUUGGUACAAUGUUUCUCCAUUUUUUUGACUGAAAGAAGUGAUUUGUAUUUUAAAAGAAUUGAUUCUAUGAGGUGGAAUUUUUUUUUUCAAAAAUUGUUCUUGCAUGUUAUUCGAAGUUCUUAUUGAUUCAAAUCUAAGGUUUUGCAUCCAAGUUUUAACUUUAUCUUUUACGGUGCGUUUACUUUAUGAGAAUGAAAAUAUGGUAGAAUGAGAAUGGGCUGGGAAUGGGAAUGAGAUUUCAAUAUUUACUUGGCAAAAAUAAAUGGGAAUGAGAAUAUGCUGGAAUGUCAUUGAUGUGUUUACUUGGCAAAAUAAAUGGGAAUGAAGAAUGAGAAUCAUUUUACCAAAAUACCCAUAGUAUUAAUAAUUAAUAAAAAUAAUUAUUUUAUCAAUAUUAUCAUUAUUGUUUUUGUUGUUAAUAUUAUUUUUAUUAAUAUUAUCAUUAUUAACAUUUAUUAUUAUUAUUAUUAAAUUUUAUUAAAUUUAUUAUUUUAGUUAUUAUUAAUUACUGUUAAUAUUAUUUUUAUUAAUAUUAUCAUUAUUAACAUUUAUUAUUAUUAUUAACUUUAUUAUUUUAGUUACUAUUAAUUAUUGUUAAUAUUAUUUUUAUUAUAUUAUCAUUAUUAAAAUUUAUUAUUAUUAUUAUUAACUUUAUUAUUUUAUUUAUUAUUAAUUAUUGUUAUUACUAUUUUUAUUAAUAUUAUCAUUAUUAACAUUUAUUAUUGUUAUUAUUAAAAUUAAAUUUUAUUAACUUUAUUAUUUUAGUUAUUAUUAAUUAUUGUUAUUAUUAUUUUUAAUAAUAAUAAUAAUGAUAAAUGUUAAUAAUGAUAAUAUUAAUAAAAAUAAUAAUAACAAUAAUUAACAAUAACUAAAAUAAUAAAGUUAAUAAAAUUUAAUAAUAAUAAUAAUAAAAUUAAUAAUAAUAAUAACAACAAUAAGGAUAAUAUUGUUAAUAAUGAUAAAUUAAAUAUUUUUAUCAUUAUUUUUAUUGUUAAUAAUGAUAAUAUUAAUGAAAAUAAUAAUAAUAAUUAAUAAUAACUAAAAUAACAAAGUUAAUAAAAUUUAAUAAUAAUAAUAAUAAUUAUUAUUAUUAUUAAUGAUAUUUAAAAUAAUAAAAUUAUGUGUGAUUUGAACAAGGGUGAUUUAGGAAAUAUGAAAAAAUUAGAAGGAUAGAAAAGUAAAUUUAUAUUUUAUUCUCAUUCCCACAUUUUUAUUCCCAACCCCCCAUGGGAAUGAGAUUCCUAUUCCUUAUUCCCAAAUUGUGUGAGACCCACACAUUUUAUUUCCAUUCCCAAAUUACAUUUUGCCAAGUAAACAUAUGUUUCAUUCCCAUCCCUUCAUUCUCAUUCCUGAAACCCGUUCAUUCCCAUUCCUUCAUUCUCAUUCCCAAAACCCAUAAGUAAACACACCAUUAAUGAAAAAGGAAAAAAGUUUAACCUAAUUAUGUUCAUGCUACAAUUUUGGUCUGUGUAUGUAUUACAAACUUCCUCAAAGAUGCAAGUAUGGAUUCUUAUAUUCUAAACCAUGAAAUAUUGGUAAAAGUUGGAUAACACAUGGUUUAAAGUUGAAUUGAGAAGCUUCUGGAGGAAAUACUAUACACGACGGUGCUCCGGUUAUGGUUGGAUUCAUGUAGUCUCUCAAGAUUCUUGGUUGAUUAUGAUCACGUCCAUGUUGAGAAUGAUUGUCUCCCUGAUAAAUCUAAGGAUUAGGUUCGCCCAAAAAGUUUUCGUCUUGGAUUUCGUCCAUGAUUGGUGGUGGAGAUUGAGAUCUACGAAUUAACCUGCCACUUGAAGUUCGAGGCCAACGUCUCAUGCAAUGGUUAUAUCACAAACGUAAUAUUCAAAUAAUUUAGUAACAAAAGAACUAAAUGAAAAUUGCACAAAACAAAAAUAAAAAUUAAAUAUGCAAAUAAUAAGAGGAUGGAUGCCCCGAAAUCUGGGUUGUGACUUCUGAUCAUUGUCCCAGCAUGAAGUUUGUUGUGACUUCUAGUUCACAUGCACUCUGUUUUUGUAGUUGCCGAAUGUCAAUGUUAUUGUAGUUCCCUUUUAAGGCUAUAUCUUGUCUAGUUGUCUUUGUGCUCGAAAGUGUGAACUUAGUCAGCGUCGAUAAAUGGAGUGCUUUUGCAUGUUACUUUUUAAUGAAUGGUGGAAACAAUAAUUCAUAAGCAUCUUAGCAUAACAUUUUCGCUCAAUUAAUGCAUAUCAAUAGCGGUUUACUUAUGCUCUGUAUGUGACGCAUUUCUAGGAAGCUUAUAUAUGGAGUUCAUUCGUUUCUGAGGUAUGCUAGAUUUUCUAUUAUUUACGUUGUUAAAACUUGUUUUUUUCUCAUGUUUGGGCAGUUAGGGCAUUCCGCUGGUCACGACAUUAACAUUAUUGAUAUUUUCUUGCUGUUCAUGUCUUCCUCACUGUAUAUAAUAUUGUAGACUUAAGUGGGCACCUGAUAAAAAUGGAUAGUUAGACUAAAUUUUUCUGGAAGGUACAAGAUCAAAAUUCUGUUUGAAAUCUUUACACGCGUUUGUGGUAAUUGUUCUCUAAUUACUUUUCGUCUAUCAGAACGACGUGGUCCAUGCCUGGAGGCCUGGAUAUUCAACUCGGCUAUUGUGCACAAGUAACUUUUCGAAAGUCCUUUUAACCUCAAUUUCUCACUCUCUCAGCGGUGCCAAUGACAUUUAAUUAUCUUUAAGGGUGAUUGAACAAAAAAAUGUCGGUGUGGUCGACUCUGCUGAGUACAUUGUUCAUCUCAGUUUCCCUACGCUUGGUGUCACUACAGAACCUUAGGCAAGUAGUUUAAUUCACAUCAAUAACAGAAUCUUGAGACUGAACUGCUUGAACUGUGUUUAAGCUUUACAUUUGAGUUGUCGAUUCUCUUAUUAUACUAUUAGAACAUUUAAUUCUUGAUAUUAAAACAUUUUUAUAGGUCCGAAGACGGUCCUACAUCAAAAUGCAGAUCUUUAGAAAUAGAUGUAAACCUAUGUUGUUUCAAAAAUUUAUUUCAUGUCGUUUUUCUUUUAAAUUUAUGGUGAUUUGCAGAUCAGGAGUAGUCGCUGGCAUUGUUAUGAUACUAUGAUAGUCGUGCAUACACCAAAAGAAAAACAAAUAGCCGGGUAACUAAGCUCCUUGACAUCUCGAGGGGAGAUUUUCGUAGUGAACUUCAACAUUGAACCCAUCCAUAAUCAGAUAGUUCGACUGCAAAGAUUUCCAGCAAAUCACCAUGAAAAUCCACCUUCACUAAAGUCUUGGCAAAAUAACCAUACUUUUUCUCUCUCAUUGCCUGAUCAAUUUGCAAAGAAAUGCCAACUUCUCUAGCCACCGUCAUCAGAAUUCUAGGAUGCCAGUACUCCCUUCUGGGACCAUAUAUUUUAAUCCAAACUUGAGCACGUGACUGGAUAGUGUAAUUCACAUCAAUAACAGAAUCACGUUAAUUCACAUCAUUUUCGUAUGCACACUAUUACGGGUUCAUCCAGGUAUGCAAUAAACAGAUGAAAUGAUAUUUUGAAAAGAAAAUUAAGACUAUUAGUUCAUUUGUCUUGUAAUUAAUUAUUGCCGACAAACUAUACAUCGAAUCACAAACUUUUUUUCAAUUAUUAUCUACUUUGCUAAUUUCUGCCUUUACCGUCUACAUUUUUCAAUGAAUUAUUGCUUGGUAAAUCGUUUUUUCACCUAUUCAAAAAAAAUAUAUAUAUAUAGUUUUUUCACAAUUAUUUAUUUGGUGGACCAGACCGUGUUUCGCACUAAUUGCAAUCAUUUAACCAUAUGUAGCUGUUAAUCUUACCCAACUAUUGUGGGAAAAAACUUCAGCCGUUGAUCCUUUUUCUGUACCAUUACCAUGAAUUAUUAUUGCUUUACCCGUGGCUACAUAAUUGAAUCACAAUAAAAAUCUGAUCAAACCAGAAAUAACAACUCGCUCAAGCUCAACUACUUAAGUUUUGAUUACGCUUCAUUCACCGUAAGCUGGCAGAGAUCUUUUCCCUUUCUAAUUUGAAGAAUAUGGAAACUAUUUGCGCAGGUUUAUAGCCCAUGUUCAGUUGAAUGAUUAACUCUUAUUUUAAUUUAUGCAUUUAUGAUUAUUUUAACAUAUGUAUUUUGAUACAAACUAUUAAAAUAUCUAUUUUAUUUAUUUAAUUUUAUGGUAUUAGUUAAUUUUGAACUAGUCAAAAGUAGUUGCAAUUAUUUUGUGGAACUACAUGUAAUUAGUGGAGCAUUAUGUGAGAUUAUGCUUAGUGUUACUAAUUUUUAGGUUGUAAUCCUAAAUAAGCCUUAUUAUAUAAAACGUGAUGUUAUUCAAUAAAAAGUAUCAUGAGUUUAUUAUUUUGGCAACAUAAAAGUUGUAAUUGGGAGUUUAUUGGUUUCUCGAAUAACCAAUACUUAUUUGGAGGUUUGGAUUUCCUCAAAUUAACCCCAUUUGUUAUCUAAUUUUUUUAUUUCAUUUUAUUUCUCUUUAUAAACUUUAGUGUUCGUAUUAUAUUUAUAAAUGUAUUUUUUAAUAUUACUUUUUCAAGUAAGAAGUCCGCAUACCCACUUUAUUAUAAUAAUAUUGCCGAUGAUGAUGAUGGGAAAAAUGAUAAUUUUGACCUGUUUGUUGCCCAUCAAUAUGGGAGAAAUCCUGACCAUACUGGUUAAGUACAUGUAAUAUUUGUUUAUUGUCCUUCAAUAUGGGAGAAAUCCUGACCAUACUGGUUAGGUACAUGCAAUAUUAAUCUUUCGUUUUAUGUUUAAUUAAAUAAAAGGAUAGGUACUGUUAUUACUUAUGAAUCAUGUCAGUGCCAUUUUGGUUCAGUUCAACUAUUAAUAUCUCUUAGAAUGUUAAAGAAAUUAUCACUGUUAGUGUCCAUGUACUUCGUUCACUAUCUCCUAGGGUGAUGUCCUAGGCUCGGGUUAUGCCAGAGUCUUGGUUCNNNNNNNNNNNNNNNNNNNNNNNNNNNNNNNNNNNNNNNNNNNNNNNNNNNNNNNNNNNNNNNNNNNNNNNNNNNNNNNNNNNNNNNNNNNNNNNNNNNNNNNNNNNNNNNNNNNNNNNNNNNNNNNNNNNNNNNNNNNNNNNNNNNNNNNNNNNNNNNNNNNNNNNNNNNNNNNNNNNNNNNNNNNNNNNNNNNNNNNNNNNNNNNNNNNNNNNNNNNNNNNNNNNNNNNNNNNNNNNNNNNNNNNNNNNNNNNNNNNNNNNNNNNNNNNNNNNNNNNNNNNNNNNNNNNNNNNNNNNNNNNNNNNNNNNNNNNNNNNNNNNNNNNNNNNNNNNNNNNNNNNNNNNNNNNNNNNNNNNNNNNNNNNNNNNNNNNNNNNNNNNNNNNNNNNNNNNNNNNNNNNNNNNNNNNNNNNNNNNNNNNNNNNNNNNNNNNNNNNNNNNNNNNNNNNNNNNNNNNNNNNNNNNNNNNNNNNNNNNNNNNNNNNNNNNNNNNNNNNNNNNNNNNNNNNNNNNNNNNNNNNNNNNNNNNNNNNNNNNNNNNNNNNNNNNNNNNNNNNNNNNNNNNNNNNNNNNNNNNNNNNNNNNNNNNNNNNNNNNNNNNNNNNNNNNNNNNNNNNNNNNNNNNNNNNNNNNACAACCCAAACAAGCUCUGAGGAAAAGGACACACACACACCCCGCAUGCUAAUAUUAAUAAAGCAACUGAUAUAUUUGUUAAUUUAUAAAGUUUAUUAACUAAUAAAUGCCAAAUAUACUAAUUUUUAUUGUAGUAUAAGCCCAAGUUCAUGGUAGAGAAAACAGGCCUAGGCCCUUUGUAGGAUUGUCCAAGUUGGAACAGGUCGAACUUAAGACUUUUUUAACAAUUCAAUAAAAUAAAACAAUAGCUAAAAGGUAAAAACAACUUAAGUUAAAGAGGAUUUUAUUAAUUUUUUCUCUAUUCAACUAAUUAUACAACAAUAUUUAUUUAAAAAAAUUGAAAUAACCUCCAACAAAAAAAUGAAUUUUACAAAAAUUUACAGCCUACAAAAUGUAGGUUCAAUUGUUCAACAUAAAAUUACUAUAACAACAAUAAUAAUAAAAGACAUAAUUAGCAUCAGAUUCCAAAUCCAAUAAUCCAAUUUCCAUAAACACUAUCACACUAACAUUUUUUUUCUUUCUUAUUUUUCCAUUCCAUUUUUUUCAAACUUAAUUCGUAAAUUAAAUUUAAUUAUUUAAAGAAAGAAUAUGUUUGAGAUUUGAUGCACAAAACAUAUAUAAAUUAUUCAUAAUUUCAGUAUUAGGAAAUAAAUGUUUAGGGGGAUUGAAUUGAUGUCCAAAAUUCAAAUGGCCUAAAUAUGACCCCUUUAUAUAUAUAUACAGUUAUAGAAUAAUUUUUCAAUGCUGAAUCAUUGACCAUAUUAAAGUCAAGACAAGGUAAAAAAAAAAAAUCAACGUUAAUACAAAGUAUAUUGUCGUAUAAUGUUUUGAAAAAUUCCUGCAAAUAUAUGGAAACUGAAAAUGAUCAUAUUAUUUCUGGUGAUUAAUGAUUCUUGUGGAGUAGAUCCCUGAUCUAUGAAAUGACUUACAUGAGCAUAUUCACCCUUUGGGAGUGGGAAACAAGUAAAAAUAUGUGUGCUAGAGGAGACAACAUUGGGGAGUUAAGUCUGUGCUUCUCGUAAUCAAUUUCCAUAUCUAAAGAAAAUGGAGUUUAUAAUCUUGCUUUUACUAACCUCGUUAACUACUUUGUGAACAAGUUUUUGAUAGACAAAUCUCACACAUCCAGUGUUUGGUGUUUGGUUUUAAGGCCUUUAAGUUUAUGUACUUUCCAUAUUAGGACCAAUAUCGGAUCUUUAACAACUUUUUUAGAUUUUUAAGUACUUUGGUAUGUUUAGGCCUUCAAUUAUUAACUUUAGGAAAAAGGUUGAGGAAGAGGAAUUUCUUGGAGAUACAGAGCUCUAUCGUGAUCCUACCACAACACUUUACUAGUAAUAUACUCUCUAAGUUUCUUUUAUUGACAUUUUUUGUUCGAUCCCUUCUUAACCUUCUAGGAUAUGACUUUCCUCUUUUAUUUACACUACAAACUGGGGUAUAGACAACGCUGUUCCUGUCUUACUUGUUGACGGCUAUAAUUUCUGUGGCAAUUGGCCUAAGCUGAAGAAACAUUUUAUGAAAGGAACGCUAAUUGUCGCUUGUCAAAAGCUAAUUGAUGCACUUGCGGAAUUUAGUACGACAAGACGUUUGUAUCUGUUUUUUUCCUCUUCUGUAUGGGGGCUUCAUUGUAUGGUACAGCCAAUCAAACAGGAUGCAGUCUUGCUUGGGCUAUACAACAGUGAUGUUUUUAUAUAUAAUCUAAUUGACACAAUCAUUCCCAAUUUCCUGUUAGGAAUUGGUGGGUGAAGUAGACACGCAGCUAAACUGAAAUUGGAAGAAAAUAAAGAAUAAGCACAAUAGAGGACACCAGAAAUUACGUGGUUCGGCUUUUAGCCUACGUCCACGGGCGAAAACAGAAGGAAAUAUUUUACUAGUGAAAAUGAGUUACAAGUAUUAUAGUAUUUUAGCUCACUUUCCAAAACCCCAAUACACCCAAACUCUCUCAAUCACUGUAACAAGAGCUUAUAAACGCAAGCUCUCUAAACUCUCUCCUAAGUACUAAAUUGCUCUCUAAAAAUGGAAUGAAUAAGCUCUUCAUUUGCACUUGUAUUUAUAGCAAAAUGAUGGCCAAGAAAGUCAAAGCCGUGGGUAUCAAAAUCUUCUUCAAAACCGUGUUCAAUCUUCAAAGCCAUGUGCCAACCAUUCUUGUCAAAGCUUCUAGAUGCAGCCAUGCCAACCAUUCUUGUUUAUUUCUUUGGUCGGCUGCCAAAACCAAGACCAAGAAGAUUUGGGUAGGCCACCACCAACUUUGACAUUUCUCCCACUUGGAGAUUUGAUUGAGAAUCAAUCAAUCUCCACACCAUCCUUUCUGCUUCGCCAUAAUCAUGUUGCCUACGUUUCUGCUAGGCCACAAGAGGAUUUACUUCAGAUAAACUUAUCAGUAUUUAACGGCUUGGUCAAAACAUCUGCUAGGUUCUCCUUCGUAUGGAUUUUCUGUAAAUCCACACUUCCAUCUUCCACUACUUCUCGAACAAAGUGAUAUUGAACUCCUAUGUGCUUUGUCCUGGAAUGAAAGGCUGGAUUCCUUGCAAUGUGCAAGGCACUCUGACUGUCACAAAACACAGAAAUUUUCUCUUGUUUGUGCCCGAGCUCCUCCAAUAACCUUUGUAUCCAAAUAGCUUCCUUGCAAGCUUGUGUAGCUGCCAUGUACUCUGCUUCUGUUGUAGAUAAAGUCACAACGGUCUGCAGUUUCGAAACCCAGCUUACAGCCGCUCCCGCAAGUGUAAACACAUAACCAGUAGUGGAUUUCCUUUUAUCAAGAUCUCCUGCAAAAUCUGAAUCCACAUAUCCCCUGACAGUAAACUCUGAUCCUCUAUAACAUAAUGCAACAUCUGAGGUUCCUCUGAUGUAUCUCAGAAUCCUCUUUACAGCUAUCCAAUGCUCUUCACCAGGAUUCGCCAUGUAUCGACUUACUGCUCCCACUGCUUGUGCAAUGUCCGGUCUUGUACAUAUCAUAACGAACAUCAAACUUCCCACUACUGAUGCAUACGGCACUCGAGACAUCUCCUUCCUCUCUACUUCAUUGCUAGGACAUAUACUUGAGGAUAAUUUGAAAUUAACAGGAAGUGGGGUAGAAAUUGACUUACAAUUUUGCAUGUUGAAGCGCCGCAAGAUUUUCUUCAAGUAAUUCUUCUGUGAAAGCCAAAUUUUCCUGUUAUUUCUAUCUCGGUAAAUUUGCAUCCCUAGAAUCUUGUUUGCUGGUCCCAAGUUCUUCAUUUCAAACUCCCUAGCCAACUGUGCCUUCAAUUUUUGGAUUCGAUCUUUGUUGGGACCUGCUACCAACAUGUCAUCCACAUACAACAGCAAAAUGAUGAAAUCAUUAUCUUUAAACCUUUUGUAAUAUGCACAAUGGUCUGAACUGAGUCUAUUGUAUCCAAGGCUUAUAAUGAAGGAAUCAAAUCUCUUAUACCAACACCUCGGCGCCUGUUUGAGUCCGUAUAGAGAUUUGUUCAACCUGCAAACCAAGUUCUCCUUUCCUGUUUCUGCAAAACCUUCUGGUUGAAGCAUGAAUAUUUCUUCUUCAAGUUCUCCAUGAAGAAAUGCAGUUUUCACAUCUAACUGCUCUAAAUGUAGGUCAAAUGUAGCACACAUUGCCAAGACUACUCUGACUGUUGUGAGUCGAACCACAGGUGAAAAUAUUUCAUUAAAGUCAAUACCUUCUUUCUGAGCAUAUCCUUUCACCACCAAUCUCGCACGAUACCGCUCCACUUGGUCAUUACCAUCACGUUUGAUCUUGUAGACCCAUUUGUUUCCAAUGGCUUUUAUUCCAUGUGGUAGUGGUACAAGUUUCUAUGUCUUGUUUUUGUGUAGAGCUUUAAUUUCUUCCUGCAUUGCUGUCAUCCACAAAGCAACAUCUGAGCUGUUUAAAGCUUCAUGGAAAGUUGAAGGCUCUCCAUCCUCUGUUAGAAGACAGUACGCAACAUUGAUUUCUGUGAUAUAUUUCGAGUGCCACGUUGGCGGUCGUCUCUCACAAGUUGACCGACGAACUUCUGGAGCCUCGGACUCGACUGGUUCUUGUUCCUCGUGCUCUGGUGCUGCUUUAGAAGAAUCUAAAUCUUCUAGAUUAUUUUCCACAUAUACCGGUAUAGUCUCUGACUUUUCUUUUACAUUGCUAUCAUCUUCAUCUCUCCUUUGCAGUUGAUUUUCUAUAAAGAUAACAUCUCUGCUGAUGACGAUCUUGUGGGUAGUGGGGUACCACAGACGAUACCCCUUUACUCCAUCAGCAUAUCCCAAGAAGAUACAUCUUCUAAAUUUUAGAUCCAGCUUUGUUCUUUCUUGGGCAUUAUACAUCACGUAUACAGGACAUCCAAAUGCAUGUAGGUAAGAAUAAUCAGCUGGCUUUCCAGUCCACAUCUCCAUCGCUGUCUUCAGCCCAAUAGCUGUAGAUGGCGAUCGAUUUACUAUAUAAUAGGCAGUUUUGGCUGCUUCUGCCCAGAAUGAAUUGGGUAGACCAGCAGUCUUCAACAUAGCUCUUAUUCUUUCUGUAAGAGUCCUGUUCAUCCGCUCCGCCACUCCGUUUUGUUGAGGAGUGUAUGCCAUCAUGAACUGCCUCUGAAUAUCUUCUUACUUACAGAAAGCAAGAAACUCACCGUCUGUAUACUCUCCACCAUUAUCUGUCCUCAAGCAUUUGAUCUUUUUACCAGAUUCAAGUUCCACCCGCGCUUUGUAUUCUUUAAACACUGAAAAUACAUCUGACUUUUUCUUAAUUGGAUGCACCCAACAUCUUCUGGAAUAAUCAUCAAUGAAAGUCACCAUGUACUUUGCACCUCCCAUGGAUAUAUCCGGUGAUUCCCAAACAUCAGAAUGAAUCAAGUCUAGAAUGCAUUUACUUCUAGCAAUAGAUCUACUGAAUUUUAAUACAUGUUGCUUACUUGUAACACAAUGCUCGCAAAAUGGUAAACUUACCGAUUUGAGCCCUGGAAGCAAUUUUCGCUCAGAGAGAAUCUUCAAACCUUGUUCCGACAUGUGACCAAGUUUGAGAUGCCACAUCAUCGUUAACUCUUCUCCAUUUGAUGCGACACACGCAUCAGCCUCCUGUAGUGUUUCUCCUUUAAGCAUGAAUAAAUUAGCACCGAUCUUUUCUGCCUUCAUCAAUACAAGCGCGCCCUUAACGAUCUUCAUAAUUCCAUUCUCCACAUGAGUUUUGUACCCAUGACUAUCCAUUUGUCCCAAAGACAAAAGAUUUUUUUUCAGGCCGUUGACAUGUCGUACUUCCCCAAUUUUGUGAAUUGUACCAUCAAACAUUUUUAUUUUGAUCGUACCAAUACCAGCGAUCUCCAAGGCAUGAUCAUUACCCAUAUAUACAGAUCCUCCUGAGAUAGGUUCAUAUGUGUGGAACCAUUCUCUCCGAGAGGUCAUUUGCCAGGUAGCUCCUGAGUCUAUAAGCCAGACAUCAGAUAGUCGUUUUCUGCCUUCUGAAACAAUUGUUGCCUCGCUGUAAAGAAUUUCGCCAUCAUCCGAGGUACUUGCUACACACCCCUGAGCAUUUGAUGACUCAAGUUCUUUGCCCUCUUUUCUCUUCUGGUUACUCCAACACUCUUUCUUGACGUGCCCUUUCUUGCCACAGUUGUAGCACUUAACAUUCUUCUUACUUCUGGAUUUUGAUCUACCAUGAUUUUGACUCCCACUGGGGCCACGUUCCGUUGGUCUCCCUCUCGUCACCGAUAGCGCCUCCGCUUGCUGUGAACUUGCUUGUCUGUUUUCCUUAUUUUUCUGCCUGCUCUCCUCAUUUAAUACGGAGGCUGCAACAUCGUCGAAAACUAGACUGUCCACUGGAUUGUUGUUCGACAGAUUGAUGAUGAGCUGAUCAUAAGAAUCUGGCAGACUUUGAAGUAGAAGCUCUGCACGUUCAUUCUCCUCUAUAUUAUGACCCAACAUUGUGAGUUGUGAAAAUAGAGUCUUCAAGGUGUUGAUGUGGUCGGUCACUAUUGUAGAUUCCACCAUUCGAAGAGUAUAGAGUUUCCUCUUCAAGAAGAUUUUGUUGUGUAGUGACUUGGUCUCGUACAAUUUUGUAAGAGUAUCCCAUAUUUCCUUCGCUGUAUUUUUCUCUGCCACACUGGAUAAUACUCCGUCUGCAAGUGCCAAGUGUAGAUCAGAAAUGGCAUUGCCGUCUACCUCAUUCCACUUGUCAUCAGUUAUCUCCAGGGGCCUUUCUCCAAUUGCUGCCAAGCAAUUAUUUUUCCUUAAUACAGCUUUCAUCUUCAUUUUCCACAAUGAAAAAUUAUUUCAGUUAAACUUCUCAAUUUCAUACUUUGCCGCCGUUUUGUUGAUAAGUACCGCACACAAGCUAGUGUACCACCUUGAAUAGUUGUGAGUAUGUGUGAGAAUGCACACCAAGAAAGUUCCCAGGAAAGACUGGAGGGGUCACAAUGGUCCCACUUAAAAUCCAGACUCCUUAAGCUCUUAUCGCCUUUGUGACAGAACUUUCCUAGACAUGUACAAAAUCACACAGCUGUUUUACUCACACCACUAUUCUCUGCUUUGCACCGCAAAAUUCUUGGAUCGCUCCCACCGUUUCACGUAAAUAGUACCGUAUAUGUGAAUAGUACCGUAUAUGUGAACAGUGCCGUAUACGUGAACAAAACUGUAUUCGUGAACAGUGCCGUAUAUGUGUAUGCGUGUACAGUGCCGUAUACGUGAAUAGUACCCCUUACGUGAACAGUUCCCGACUCCAAAAAAUACAACCAAUAGCUCUGAUACCACUGUUAGGAAAUUGGUGGGUGAAGCAGACACGCAGCUAAAAUUAAAUUGGAAGAAAAUAAAGAACAAGCACAAUAGAGGACACUAGAAAUUACAUGGUUCGGCUUUUAGUCUACGUCCACGGGCGAAGACAGAAGAAAAUAUUUUACUAGUGAAAAGGAGUUACAAGUAUUGUAGUAUUUUAGCUCACUUCCCAAAACCCCAAUACACCCAAACUCUCUCAAUCACUGUAACAAGAGCUUAUAAACGCAAGCUCUCUAAACUCUCUCCUAAGUACUAAAUUGCUCUCUAAAAAUGGAAUGAAUAAACUCUUCAUUUGCACUUGUAUUUAUAGCAAAAUGAUGGCCAAGAAAGUCAAAGCCGUGGGUAUCAAAAUCUUCUUCAAAACCGUGUUCAUCAAAGCUUGGUGGGUGAAAACCGUGUUCAAUCUUCAAAGCCAUGUGCCAACCAUUCUUGUCAAAGCUUCUAGAUGCAGCCAUGCCAACCAUUCUUGUUUAUUUCUUUGGUCGGCUGCCAAAACCAAGACCAAGAAGAUUUGGGUAGGCCACCACCAACUUUGACAUUUCCCACUGCUUAACUGCCUUAUCAAUUUGGAUAUAAUUAAAUACUAGAUUCCAUGAUAAAAAGUGAUAAUUUGAACAUUAAAGACUCUUCUUGGUGAUCACUUUUCUACUUGAUUUAGUUUUGCCAUCCAAUGCUCUUCUUUGAAGGCGUUCGCCAGAGACCAAUUAUAGCUUCAACGUUUCAUAGUGGUUUCUAGCUUGAAUCUCUUUCCAACCCAAUGUUAUAGUGCUAAAGCCAUACACAGAAAGAAGUAGAGAUAAAAAUAGUUGUUACUUUUAUUUUUCAUACAUGUAUAUUGUAACAUUUUGAAUUAUAGGAUAUGUUGUUUUGUCAGUUUCAUCCACAAUGAACUUGCAUCCGGUUAUAUCUUUGUAUGCUCGACUCGAAUUUCAUGAAUGUAUAAAUUUUAUCUUUUCACUGUUAACUUCCCCAUCAGUUGUAUCAUUGUCCUUUCGAUCAGAAAUUCAUGGAAAUUUCAUCCAUUAGCUUUUUCUGGCCUAUCUAGUGGUGGAUGCAUCGUUCUUUUGACCGUGUCAAAAUACCCAUAUUUCCAAAAUCUUUAAGCUUAUGGGAUAAACAGUUGCUCAAUACUGCCCUUGAUAUCCGAGCUAAUCUAGAUGAGAAGUCAGGUUUCUGAAUUCCACCAUUCAAAAUGGCCUUACAACUUCCGCGCUUGUCUUGGCAAGAAAAAGCAAUAGAGGCCUUUUAUUAACCAUAAGGAGUGGACUAAUUCAUGGUUUAAAAUCUUUUGACAGUCAUUAUUUUACUGGUUCGGACUUCGGAUAUCAAGCGGACAAUCAAACAUUUUUCCUAUUGUAAUGUGGUGUUGUGGGAAUUGUUACACGAUGCCUUCAUUGUUCAAAUGACUAGCAGGCUGGUACCAUAUUUUUGUGAUCGAUUGUAGCAUUAAGAGAGCAUGGAUGCCCCAAAAUUUGGGUUGUGACUUCCGAUCAUUGUCGCAGCAUGAAGUUUGUUGUGACUUCUAGCUCACAUGCACUCUGUUUUUGUGGUUGUUGCAUGUCAAUGUUCUUGGAGUUCCCUUUUAAGGCUAUAUCUUGUCUAAUUGUCUUUGUGCUUAAAAGUAUGAAGUUAGUUAGCGUUGAUAAAUGAGUGCUUUUGCAUGUUACUUUUCAAUGAAUGGGGAAACAAUAAUUCAUAAGCAUCUUAGCAUAACAUUCUCGCUCAAUUAAUGCAUAUCAAUAACGGUUUACUUGUGCUCUGUAUGUGACACAUUUCUAAGAAGCUUAUAUCUGGAGUUCCAAGGCAUUUGUUUCUGAGGUAUGCUAAAUUUUCUAUUAUGUACGUUGUUAAAACUUGUUAUUUUUUCAUGUUUGGGCAGUUAGGGCAUUUCGCUGAUCACGACAUUAACAUUGUUGAUAUUUUCUUGCUGUUUCAUGUCUUUCUCACUGUAUAUAAUAUUGUAAACUUAGGUGGGCACCUGAUAAAAAUGGUUAGCUAAACUAAAUUCUUUUUGGAAGGUAUAAGAUCAAGUUUCUGUUUGAAAUCUUUACACGCCUUUGUGGUAAUUGUUCUCUAAUUACUUUUCGUCUAUCAGAACGACUUUGUCCAUGCCUAGAGGCCUGGAUAUAUUCAAUUCGGCUAUUGUGCACAAGUAACUUUUCGAAAAUCCCUUUAACCUCAAUUUCUCACUCUCUCAGCGGUGCCAAUUGUCAAAGCCGGUGGCCUUAACAAGCCAAAUUCAAAUUGGGUUUCAGCCACCAAUCUAGAAGAAGUAGAAUUUCACAGUCAAAAAGAAAGAAAAAGAAAAAUAGAAUUUGAAAGCAGCAAAUGUUGAAGGAUUUGGUGCCGUCCAAAGAAAAUAAGGAAAAAGAAGAAUAAAGAAGAUAAUGGCGGUGAGAAAAAAAUAAUAUUUUAAUAGUCAAUUUUGGCUAUAAAAAGGGAGAGCUCCCCAUUUCAUUUUUGCAUUCAAUUUGUGAGAGAGAAAAAGCAGAGAGCUUGAGUAAUUUUUAGAGUUUAAAAUUAUAAAACUCUUGUAAGUCUCGUGAGUGAGAGAUUAGGUGUAUUGGGUUCUGGGAAGUGAGCCAAAAUAUUACAAUACUCGUAAUCCUCAUUUUACUAGUAUAAUAUUUUCCUUCUGUUUUCGCUUGUAGAUGUAGGCUAAAAACCAAACCACGUAAUUCCUAGUAUCCUCUUUUUGUGUUUGUUCUUUAUUUUCUUCCAAUUUUACUUUAGCUGUGGCCUUACUUCACCCACCAAAUUCCUAACAGUGGUAUCAGAGCUAUUGGUUGUAUUUUUUAGAGUCGAGAAUAUUGUUCACGCAUACGGUACUGUUCACGUAUACGGUAGUUUUAUAAGAAAAAAAANNNNNNNNNNNNNNNNNNNNNNNNNNNNNNNNNCACUGAUGUGAGUAAAGCAACUGUGUAGUUUUGUACAUAUCUAAGAAAGUUCUGUCACAAAGGCGAUAAAAGUUUAAGGAGUCUGAGUUUUAAGUGGGACCGUUAUGACCCUUCCAUUCUUUCCUGGUACUCAUAUUCACACAUACUCACAACAGUGAGGUGGGCAGUGAUUUUAUCAAUGUAGUGAUUUUAUCAAUGCUCAUUUUAAAAUAUUCGUCCGUCAUUGCUCUAAUUCCCCUAUGGCACAAUACCUACAGAUUUCCUUUGGGUUUCAAAGGAAUGCCUCAUACCAUUGUAAAUCGAACUAUUUAAUAGUUUUAUAUUCCAUCUAAAGAUAUACAUUUGCAAAGAUGUUAGAAUACAAUGGAUUAAACCCUUAGUUUGGUUGUACUAGGAGUUUCCUGGCAAGAAGAUCGUCUUGAUAAGGAUGAACAAAGAAUUAUAUUUCUAUCAUCCUUGAUUUUAGUUAAAAUUUUAUUUGUGGCGAACGUCAAAAUAGAUGAAGAUGAAACAAAAAAAACUCAAAAGCUAAAUCUAUUAUGAACACUCAUUUACUCUGCAUGCUUUUGUUUAAUAAUUUUAAAAAUAUUAAUUUUUGCUUAGGAUACUUUUUUCAAAUAUCUAUUUGUCCUCAUUAUCCAAUUCUUAAUUUUCUUAUUUCUUCUUUACACCUAAUAAAAUAUUUAUCCUCACAAGCAAAAUAUCUAACUUUUUUCUAUUGUAUUAAAUUUUUAUGUUUCUUUCAUAAUUUCGUUUAAUAUAUGUUUGUUUUUUCAAUGCCGUAAUUUAAUUUUGCAUUCCAAACCCGCGAAAGCAGGUGGAUUAGCUAGAUUGAAGAUCACAAAGCAAAUUAGAAAAUAUACAUAUAUAUUCUCUUUGAUUUAUUUAUUUACUUAUGUUGGAUUAGUGUAAUUUAUUGUUCUUCCUCUACUUCUGUUUUUAAUUCCUUUUGUUUCGAUUUCAAAAAAGGGAACAUGUUUCUUCAUGUUUUUCUAUCAAGUAACAAACAAAUGAAUAAAUAGAAAAAGUCUGUUCAUGUCUUUAUAUCAAUUAACAAACAAAUGAAUAAAUGGAAAAAGUUUAUUAUUCACAAUAUUUUGACGUGAACAUUGAUUCAAUUUUUCAUUGCUGAUGUAGUUUAUUAUAGACAAAGUAUGACGCUGGACAAAAAAAUUAUUGCAUUGUUCUUAAUAGUAAAUCACAUAAACUUAGUAAUAUAAAAAAUUGUUAAAUGUGUAGAGUUCUAAAUAAGGUUUAGAGUGCAAAUAACUCCAUCCUUAAUCAAACCUUUACAACUAAUGAAAAAGGCUCAUCAUUUUUAAUUAAAUUGAUUUUCUUCUCUGAUAUCUCUUCACAAUGUGGCAUGAUUGACUUGAUAAACUGGAAAAAAAAAACAGAAAAAAGUAUGGCCCAAAACAUAGGCAGAGAGCCGAAGAACCAAGGGUAUUUUGUUUAAAUCAUAUAUUUGUAAGGGUAAACAUAGGUUGUAAUUCUCCGCCCUUUGAUGAUAAAAUAAGAUUCCUUCAAUAUAUGGAUCAGAAUUCAUUUCAUUACAUCUUGAAUUAUUAAACCAAAUUAAAAAAAAAAAAGAAUCAGUUACAGAAUAUUAAUUAACUCCCAAUCAUCAUUGAAUUGUACUUAAAAUCUGACAGCAAAUUUCUGUCCCUGAUUGAUUAAAUCAUCCCCCAAAAGCAAAAUACAAAAGCAACAGCGUGAAUGAUUGAUUUACUCAGAACCGACAAAGUUACCAAAACUUAUGUUAUUUUUAGAAGCCAUAUGAAUCUUACGGGUGUACUCUUGGACGGGCGAAUCCUUUGGAAGCAAAUCAAAGCAUUCAUAAGUUGUCUUAACAGCAUAGUCAAGUUCAUAUUCCAAAGAGCCGAAAUCUUCUCCUUUAAGCGAUACAAUGGCUGCAUUGCUUCUGGCGAAAAUCAUAGUGUAAUAGGCUUGGACCAUCCCGAGCCUAGCUGCAUCAAUACCGUCGGUUUCGGAUUUCAAUUUUUCAAUAGCCUUAAUACCUUCGUCAGCACGUUCAGCGAUGACCUUUAGUCCAGCUAAAAGGAUAUCAUUAUGGGUGGGAUUCUCAGGAUUCUCCAAGUAUUUUGGGAUUGAAUCGGAGCAGUCGUUGGGGAAUUGGGAGCCCAAGCACAGCUCAUCAACACGACUGGUGCCUUCAACGUUAUGCAAUGAUGAAAGAAGAGAAGAUAAAGCGAUGGCAAAGAUGAUUGUAACUUUAAUUGCCAUUGUUCUUGAUCUCUUCUCUUCUCGCUCUCUAUAUCUUCUUUAUUUGAGGAGAAAUGAGAAAUAAGAGACACCACUUGGAGCUUAAAAGGGGAGGGCCUUAUAAAGGCCUGUGUAUGUAUAUUUAUGCAUGCAAAAAUAGGAACUGCCAUUCAAAUUUUGUACAAUACAAUCGCUAAAUUGGUUGAGAAAUAUUCUGUUUAUAGAUCGUGUUUGUUGUUGAUUUGACCUUGUCCCCGUUAAGCCUACCUCUAAUUACCACAAAUUACUUUCUUAAUCUAAAUUAAAGAGAAAAAAUUAAAUUAAAUUAAAUUAACAAAAAAUGAUGAAAGAUUAAAAUAAAAUAUAUUAAUACUGAUUAAACAAAGACGUGAUGCAAUUUAUAUGUCCAUAUUAAGCGCUUUCAUCACCAUCCUGAUCAAGACUCAAAAUAUGAACUUUUUUUUUUAAACUUUUUUUUCAUAUCUUAUAUUCUAUUCACACUAUCCAUAGGAUUAAACAAAAAAGAAAAAUAUUGAACCAAGGUUUUGCUAAUAAGAUUUAUAUGGAUGAAAAGAAUGAAUAAAAAACUAUGUACGCACCUUGAUGUAAAUAUAAUUUUCUAUUAAUACAUUUUUUUAUAUUCUCCAUUAAUUUUUCUUUUCUGUUAUUUUUUUAAUUUUAUUCUGUCAAAGUUUUUUUUUAGAUAAAAAUGCUAAAUACAUGAUUUUAAUUAAUUUGUACAAUGAAAAUAUCAACUACAAAUGCAAAUUUAAAAAUAAAAUUCAAUAAAUAAAUUUUACGAAAUAUAAAAGGUCCUAAACGUUGAAUUUCGCCUAAGGCCCAAAGCGCAGCGAGUUUUGUUCUAUAUAGAAUGCUUAUAUAUGUAACAAGUUUAAUAAUCAUUUUUUUUAUUUUUUUUCAUUAUCUUUAUCACUUGUCCACUGCGUUAUUCAGAAAUUGAAAAAAAAAAAAACCAAAAGCAAGUGAACGAAAAGAAAAAAAAAAAAAAAUUGUUCAUGGAGUCGCAUGAAGCGAUUAUGAGCUCAAGUUUGUUUCCUUUGGAAUCUUCAUCAAUUCAGCAGUAAUUUAAAUAAUAAAACAAUAGAGCUCUCCUUAAUCCUCAGCCCUCAUUCAAAGUUGAAUGAGAUAUUAUUAUUAUUAUUAUUUUGGCUCUUGAGAUAUGAUUUAGAUUUAAACAAUUAAUUGUUGGUAAUUCGUGUCAGAUUUGAAGCGGAUACGGUGAAAUCAACAAUAAACUGGAUCUACAAACGGAAUACACUAAGCCAAAAUUAGCUGUUGAAUAGUACUAAAAGUUGAAUGGGAGUAGCUAGCUAUUUGCAUGCCUGCACGUAUACAUAUAUAUCCUAGAUGUUAGCUUGAAUUUCUAUCUCCUGUUCUGGUUUUUCUUCCCCAAAUUAAAAUUAAAUAAAGAAGAGAAGAACAGAUCAAUAACAAUGGCAGUUAAAGUAACAAUAAUUUUCGCCAUCGCUUUGUCAUCUCUCCUUUCAUUGAAUUAUAUUGAAGCCAAUAUUGUUUGUUAGGAAAUUGGUGGGUGAAGAAGGACCGCAGUUAAGAUGAAAUUAUAAGAAAAUAAAGAACAAGCACAAAAAUUAGAUACAAGAAAUUACGUGGUUCGGCUUUUAGCCUACGUCCACGGGCGAAGACAGAAGGAAAUAUUUUACUAGUAAAAAGGAGUUACAAGUAUUGUAGUAUUUUAUCUCACUACCCAAAACCCCAAUACACCCAAACUCUCAAAAUCACUAAGCACACAAAAUUCUUUGCUCUUGCAAGAAUCACUCCUCACAACUCUCAACUCUCUCUACAAAAUUGCCUCUCAAAAUUGGAUGAAAAAUGAGGGUGGGAAGCCCUCUUUAUAUAGCCAAAAUUUUGGCUCUUUUUUUUUUUUUAUUUAUAGAACAAGUCAACACGGCACCACCAAUAAUGGCGGGCCGUGUUGAAUGGUUGGCACCGGCCAUCUAGAUGGCCGAUGCCAGCCAUGACUUUUAACAUUCUCCCACUUGGAGAUUAGAUUGAGAAUCAAUCAAUCUCCACAUCAUCCUUUCUACUUCGCCAUAGUCAUGUUGCUUACGUUGCUGCUAGGCCACAAGAAGAUCUACUCCAGACAAACUUAUCAGUAUUUAUCGGCUUGGUUAAAACAUCUGCUAGGUUCUCCUUCGUAUGGAUUUUCUGUAAAUCCACACUUCCAUCUUCCACUACUUCUCGAACGAAGUGAUACUGAACUCCUAUGUGCUUUGUCCUGGAAUGAAAAGCGGGAUUCCUUGCAAUGUGCAAGGCACUCUGAUUGUCACAAAACACAAGAAUUUUCUGUUGUUUGUGCCCGAGCUCCUCCAAUAACCUUGUAUCCAAAUAGAUUCCUUGCAAGCUUGUUUAGCUGCCAUGUAUUCUGCUUCUGUUGUAGAUAAAGCCACAACAGUCUGCAGUUUCGAAACCCAGCUUACAGCUGCUCCCGCAAGUGUAAACACAUAACCAGUAAUAGAUUUUCUUUUAUCAAGAUCUCCUGCAAAAUCUAAAUCCACAUAACCCCUGACAGUAAAUUUUGAUCCUCCAUAACAUAAUGCAACAUCUAAGGUUCCUCUGAUGUAUCUCAGAAUCCUCUUCACAGCUAUCCAAUGCUCUCCACCAAGGUUCGUCAUGUAUCGACUUACUGCUCCCACUGCUUGUGCAAUGUCCGGUCUUGUACAUAUCAUAGCGAACAUCAAACUUCCCACUGCUGAUGCAUACGGUACUCGAGACAUCUCCUUCCUUUCUGCUUCAUUGCUAGGACACAUACUUGAGGAUAAUUUAAAAUUAACAGGAAGUGGGGUAGAAAUUGACUUACAAUCUUGCAUGUUGAAGCGCCGCAAGAUUUCCUUCAAGUAAUUCUUCUGUGAAAGCCAAAUCUUCCUGUUAUUUCUGUCUCGGUAAAUUUGCAUCCCUAGAAUCUUGUUUGAUGGUCCCAAGUCCUUCAUUUCAAACUCCCUAGCCAACUGUGCCUUCAAUUCUUGGACUCGAUCUUUGUUGGGGCCUGCUACCAACAUGUCAUCCGCGUACAACAGUAAAAUAAUGAAAUCAUUAUUUUCAAACCUCUUGUAAUAUGCACAAUGGUCUGAACUGAGUCUGUUGUAUCCAAGGCUCAUAAUGAAGGAAUCAAAUCUCUUAUACCAACACAUCGGCUCCUGUUUGAGACCGUAUAGAGAUUUGUUCAAUCUGCAAACCAAGUUCUCCUUUCCUGUUUCUGCAAAACCUUCUGGUUGAAGCAUAUAUAUUUUUUCUUUAAGUUCUCCAUGAAGAAAUGCAGUUUUCACAUCUAACUGCUCUAGAUGUAGGUCAAAUGUAGCACAUAUUGCAAAGACUACUCUGACUGUUGUGAGUCGAACCACCGGUGAAAAUAUAUUGUUGAAGUCAAUACAUUCUUUCUGAGCAUAUCCUUUCACCACCAAUCUCACACGAUACCACUCCACUUGGUCAUUGCCAUCACGUUUGAUCUUGUAAACCUAUUUGUUUCCAAUGGCUUUUCUUCCACGUGGUAGUGGUACAAGUUCCCAUGUCUUGUUCUUGUGUAGAGCUUCAAUUUCUUCCUGCAUUGUUGUCAUCCACAAAGCAACAUCUGAGCUUUCUAAAGUUUCAUGGAAAGUUGAUGGCUCUCCAUCCUCUGUUAGAAGACAGUAUGCAACAUUGAUCUCUAUGACAUACUUUGAGUGCCAUGUUGGCGGUCGUCUCUCACGAGUUGACCGACGAACUUCUGGAGCCUCAGACUCGACUGGUUCUUGUUCCUCAUUCUCUGGUGCUGCUUCAGAAGAAUCUGAAUCUUCUAGAUUAUUUUCCACAUAUACUGGCACAGUCUCUGACUUUUCUUUUACAGUGCCAUCACCUCCAUCUUUCAUUUGUAGUUGAUCUUCUGCAAAAAUAACAUCUCUGCUGAUGACGAUUUUGUGGGCAGUGAGGUCCCACAGACGAUACCCCUUUACUCCAUCAGCAUAUCCCAAGAAGAUACAUCUUUCUAAAUUUUGGAUCCAGCUUUAUUCUUUCUUGGGCAUUGUACAUCACGUACACAGGACAUCCAAAUGCAUGUAGGUAGGAAUAAUCAGCUGGCUUUUCAGUCCACAUCUCCAUCGCUGUCUUCAGCUCAAUAGCUGUAGAUGGCGAUCGAUUUACUAUAUAAUAGGCAGUUUUGGCUGCUUCUGCCCAUAAUGAAUUGGGUAGACCAGCAGUCCUCAACAUAGCUUUUAUUCUUUCUGUAAGAGUUCUGUUCAUCCGCUCCGCCAUUCCGUUUUGUUGAGGAGCGUAUGCUACCGUGAACUGCCUCUGAAUACUAGGGGUGUUCACGGAUCGGAUUUUACGGAUUGGACAUCGAUCCAUAUCCGAUCCAUGAUUUUGCGGAUUAUAAUUUUUCAAUCCAAUCCAAUCCACGGAUUGAUAAAAUUCAAUCCAAAUCCAAUCCAUACAUCUGCGGAUCGGAUGCGGAUUUGACUCAAUCCAUAUCCAAUCCAUACGUCUGCGGAUCGGAUGCGGAUUUAACUCAAUC